CAACCUCAACUCAUAUGGGACUACCCCCUGAAUUUAAGCAUAUUAAUUAGGGGAGGAAAAGAAACUAACAAGGAUUUUCUUAGUAGCGGCGAGCGAAAAGAAAACAGUUCAGCACUAAGUCACUUUGUCUAUAUGGCAAAUGUGAGAUGCAGUGUAUGGAGCGUCAAUAUUCUAGUAUGAGAAAUUAAUGAUUUAAGUCCUUCUUAAAUGAGGCCAUUUACCCAUAGAGGGUGCCAGGCCCGUAUAACGUUAAUGAUUGCUAGAUGAUGUUUCCAAAGAGUCGUGUUGCUUGAUAGUGCAGCACUAAGUGGGUGGUAAACUCCAUCUAAAACUAAAUAUAACCAUGAGACCGAUAGUAAACAAGUACCGUGAGGGAAGUUGAAAAGAACUCUGAAUAGAGAGUUAAACAGUACGUGAAACUGCUUAGAGGUUAAGCCCGAUGAACCUGAAUAUCCGUUAUGGAAAAUUCAUCAUUAAAAUUGUAAUAUUUAAAUAAUAUUAUUAAGAAUAAUGUGCAUUUUUUCCAUAUAAGGACAUUGUAAUCUAUUAGCAUAUCCCAAAUUUAUCAUAAAAUAUAACUUAUAGUUUAUUCCAAUUAAAUUGCUUGCAUUUUAACACAGAAUAAAUGUUAUUAAUUUGAUAAAGUGCUGAUAGAUUUAUAUUAUUACAGAGCGUUAAUUUUUCGGAAUUAUAUAAUGGCAUAAUUAUCAUUGAUUUUUGUGUUUAUUAUAUGCUCUUGUAUGAUUAACAAUGCGAAAGAUUCAGGAUACCUUCGGGACCCGUCUUGAAACACGGACCAAGGAGUCUAACAUAUGUGCAAGUUAUUGGGAUGUAAACCUAAUAGCGUAAUUAACUUGACUAAUAAUGGGAUUAGUUUUUUAGCUAUUUAUAGCUAAUUAACACAAUCCCGGGGCGUUCUAUAUAGUUAUGUAUAAUGUAUAUUUAUAUUAUUUAUGCCUCUAACUGGAACGUACCUUGAGCAUAUAUGCUGUGACCCGAAAGAUGGUGAACUAUACUUGAUCAGGGUUGAAGUCAGGGGAAACCCUGAUGGAAGACCGAAACAGUUCUGACGUGCAAAUCGAUUGUCAGAAUUGAGUAUAGGGGCGAAAGACCAAUCGAACCAUCUAGUAGCUGGUUCCUUCCAAAGUUUUCCCUCAGGAUAGCUGGUGCAUUUUAAUAUUAUAUAAAAUAAUCUUAUCUGGUAAAGCGAAUGAUUAGAGGCCUUAGGGUCGAAACGAUCUUAACCUAUUCUCAAACUUUAAAU
rnacentral:ncRNA from 1 species